rnacentral:rRNA from 1 species
GGGGGAUAUUGCGCAAUGGAGGAAACUCUGACGCAGCAACGCCGCGUGAAGGAAGAAGGUCUUCGGAUUGUAAACUUUUGUCUUCGGGGACGAUAAUGACGGUACCCGAGGAGGAAGCCACGGCUAACUACGUGCCAGCAGCCGCGGUAAUACGUAGGUGGCGAGCGUUGUCCGGAAUUACUGGGUGUAAAGGGUGCGUAGGCGGGUUGACAAGUCAGAUGUGAAAUCCCAUGGCUUAACUGUGGGACUGCAUUUGAAACUGUUGGCCUUGAGUGCAGGAGAGGUAAGCGGAAUUCCCAGUGUAGCGGUGAAAUGCGUAGAUAUUGGGAGGAACACCAGUGGCGAAGGCGGCUUACUGGACUGCAACUGACGCUGAUGCACGAAAGCGUGGGGAUCAAACA